rnacentral:rRNA from 1 species
GCGCGGCUUACACAUGCAGUCGAGCGCCCCGCAGGGGAGCGGCAGACGGGUGAGUAACGCGUGGGAAUCUACCUUUUGCUACGGAACAACAGUUGGAAACGACUGCUAAUACCGUAUGUGCCCUUCGGGGGAAAGAUUUAUCGGCAAAGGAUGAGCCCGCGUUGGAUUAGCUAGUUGGUGAGGUAAAGGCUCACCAAGGCGACGAUCCAUAGCUGGUCUGAGAGGAUGAUCAGCCACACUGGGACUGAGACACGGCCCAGACUCCUACGGGAGGCAGCAGUGGGGAAUAUUGGACAAUGGGCGCAAGCCUGAUCCAGCCAUGCCGCGUGAGUGAUGAAGGCCCUAGGGUUGUAAAGCUCUUUCACCGGUGAAGAUAAUGACGGUAACCGGAGAAGAAGCCCCGGCUAACUUCGUGCCAGCAGCCGCGGUAAUACGAAGGGGGCUAGCGUUGUUCGGAUUUACUGGGCGUAAAGCGCACGUAGGCGGAUUUUUAAGUCAGGGGUGAAAUCCCGGGGCUCAACCCCGGAACUGCCUUUGAUACUGGAAGUCUUGAGUAUGGUAGAGGUGAGUGGAAUUCCGAGUGUAGAGGUGAAAUUCGUAGAUAUUCGGAGGAACACCAGUGGCGAAGGCGGCUCACUGGACCAUUACUGACGC